GCAUAACGCAAAACCGACUAACCAACGUUUCGACCCCUGCGGGUCUUUUUCAAGGUUACCCGCAGAGGUCGAAACGUUGGUUAGUCGGUUUUGCGUAAUGC